CUCAGUCUGAAGGGUACCCGGGAGUUUGACAGGUGAAGAGACCUCUUUCAGGCAGAGGGAACAAAAUAAGCCACAGUCCUCAUCCUUGAACCAGGUGAGAACUUCUAGCUUACUGGGUAAAGUCCAAUUAACGUGGUGCAGAAUUCCAUCCAUGGCAGGGCUCCUGCUGUCUCCAGCCUCAUCUCCAGGCACACCCUGCACCCUUGAGAAGACAAUGCUUCCGUGUCCACCAGUUCAUUCCUUCCAGACACAUCCCAGUGGUGUCUAGCUCAGGUCUCAGCUCCUGGAAAGGGACAAGGACGCCCCAGAGUCUGCUUUUUUGACACUUACCUUCUGGUCCCCCUGAAAAAUCAUGCUGCAUCACGCCUGCACAUUGUCCUUUCUGCGGAAAUGUCCUGUCUCCCCAUCUCUAUCUGCCAAAGACCCACGCAUAAUGCAAACAAUUCAGGUUUCACCCUUUGCAGUGAACUUUGUACAGCUCUCCCAGGUAAGUGGGCUCCCUGUACUGGUUCCUUGCCCAUGCCUCUCUCGUGUCACUCCCCAGCUGGUAGGGCAAUAGUCCUUGAUCUGUCAGAACUCCUGGUUGAAGUGUAGGUAUCACCUACACACAGUAAGGCUCCUUAGUGUUAUGAAAACCCACUCAUAUGCUGGCACAGAACUCUCUCUUCCCCCAGCAAUUGAUCCAGCAAUUCUCAAUCCAGGCUGCACACUAAAGUCAUCUGGGGAGCUUUUUAAAAAGCACCACUGCCAGGUUUCCUCCCCAGAUAAUCCAGUUUAAUGGGUCUUGGGUGGGGCCCAAGCAUAGGUAUUAUUUACAGGUUCCCUAAGUGAGGCUACUGGACAGCAGGAGUUGAGAAAAACUCAUACAGAGGUACAAAAAUAAAGGCUGGAUGAUGCGGCCCUUCAGGAAGCUCCUGCACAUCUCACCGGCAUAUCGAGGGCAUGAACUAGGUCAUGGGGACGAGGCAGAAUCUCACAGGCACCUCCCUGAUGAAAGUGGCGCGAAGCACUGCCUUGCAGCGUCGCUCUGGGGCCUGUCGUUUGCCUGGGUCUAGCUUAGCAAGGGCAAUGGCAAGAAGGGGUUUGGGAGUUAACAGACUGUUUCAUUCCAAGGGUCAAGAGUUGGUGGUUGGUAGCAGUGAGUGGGUCUAUAUUAGCCUCCUUGCUGGAAGGAGGGCCGGUAACGUUGUCCCCAUAUUUGCCAUCUGAGCGGACACUUCUGGAAUAUUCCAAGAUGUGCCAAUCCUUGGCCCUUGGAAUUAAUAGUCUCCUGACUCCCAAACCCCUUCUUGCCAUUGCCCUUGCUAAGCUAGACCCAGGCAAAAGACAAACCCCAGAGCAACAGUGCGAGGCGGUGCUCCACGCUCCAUCUCAGAGCAGAGCAACCUUAGGACCCCAUUUCAGAA
rnacentral:lncRNA from 1 species